rnacentral:lncRNA from 1 species
UAUUCGUAGGUCCGUUGACUAAACCUUAGACGUGAUAUUAAGGAUUUUUUAUUUUUAUUUAUUAUUUUAAAUGAAAAAGAAAAAUUAAGUUAGAAUUGAUAACUAUUAUUUUUUUCUAAUUUUUUAUUCACCUUCAAUAUUACAACUAGACCAAUAUUAAAUCAAUAAAUUUAUAUAAUUUUAAGACUAAAUAUUAUUUCUUAUUUAUUUUUCUAUUAUUUUC